UUCUCAGCUUUCACCCCCGGACU
rnacentral:siRNA from 1 species